rnacentral:rRNA from 1 species
AUUGAACGCUGGCGGCAUGCCUUACACAUGCAAGUCGAACGGCAGCAUGGAAGAGCUUGCUCUUCUGAUGGCGAGUGGCGAACGGGUGAGUAAAGCAUCGGAACGUACCGUGUAGUGGGGGAUAACGUAGCGAAAGUUACGCUAAUACCGCAUACGCACUGAGGUGGAAAGCAGGGGAUCGCAAGACCUUGCGCUAUACGAGCGGCCGAUGUCAGAUUAGCUAGUUGGUAGGGUAAAGGCCUACCAAGGCGACGAUCUGUAGCGGGUCUGAGAGGAUGAUCCGCCACACUGGGACUGAGACACGGCCCAGACUCCUACGGGAGGCAGCAGUGGGGAAUUUUGGACAAUGGGCGAAAGCCUGAUCCAGCCAUGCCGCGUGAGUGAAGAAGGCCUCGGUUGUAAGCUCUUCGCUGGGAGAAAUACGCACAGGCGUAAUACUCUGUGUGGAGUGACGGUACCGAGCACAAGAAGACG